rnacentral:tRNA from 1 species
GGGCAUGUGGCGGAAUUGGCAGACGCGCCAGACUUAGGAUCUGGUGCCGCGAGGCGUGUGGGUUCGAGUCCCACCAUGCCCA